UAAUGGACUGCUUCAAUUCAGUCAAAUUUCUGGGUUUUGUUUUGUACACCUCUUACUUGACAUAACUCCAUAAAAGAAAGUUUGGUGCAGUAAGGUCAGGUAACUUUAAGAGCCAACGGAAAGUGAAUUUCUUGAUAUUAAUUUGUUAUCAAAUUUUCGUUGGAGCUCCGCAAAAACCAGUCAGGCUAUAGUGUGCUAGGCAGUUGCUCCAUCUUGCUGGAACCAAACGCUAUUUAAAGGGAUACGUCUUCGUCGCAGUUCUGGGAAGUAUGGCCCGACAAUACACCUUGAUGAAACCGCGCACCACACAGUGACUCGUUCUGGGUGAAGUUUCGUCUCGCGAGCUAUUUCUGGAUUUGAUUCACUCCAUACAAGACAAUUUUGCUUGUUUACAUUUCUGUUUAGAUCACUUUACGGUCUUCUUGCGAUACUUAUGAUUACAUGUUUACCAACCUCAUAAUGGUCCAUCUACUUGGGAAAGUGCCGCCAAAAUCCCACCUGAAUUUCCUUUGAACGGUAAUGACAGACUGCAAAGUAUGGUACCGCUGCACUAUUCAAACCCUCUUUUCAAUAUCCUUGCUAUUUUUAAAUUUUUAAAUAAUAGUCUGUCAAAUAAAAAAAAGUUAUUACGGUUUUUUGUGUAGCACGAUUCGAGAGCCACCCUAUAUUAAAAAUUUAAUGACUUGAAGUCGUGCCCAUGAUUUCCUUACUAAAGUACAAUAAAAUGUGUAUUAUUUUGAUUAUUAUAA